rnacentral:rRNA from 1 species
GGCGAACGCUGGCGGCGUGCUUAACACAUGCAAGUCGAACGGAAAGGCCCUGCUUUUGUGGGGUGCUCGAGUGGCGAACGGGUGAGUAACACGUGAGUAACCUGCCCUUGACUUUGGGAUAACUUCAGGAAACUGGGGCUAAUACCGGAUAGGAGCUCCUGCUGCAUGGUGGGGGUUGGAAAGUUUCGGCGGUUGGGGAUGGACUCGCGGCUUAUCAGCUUGUUGGUGGGGUAGUGGCUUACCAAGGCUUUGACGGGUAGCCGGACUGAGAGGGAGACCGGCCACAUUGGGACUGAGAUACGGCCCAGACUCCUACGGGAGGCAGCAGUGGGGAAUAUUGCACAAUGGGCGGAAGCCUGAUGCAGCAACGCCGCGUGCGGGAUGACGGCCUUCGGGUUGUAAACCGCUUUCGCCUGUGACGAAGCGUGAGUGACGGUAAUGGGUAAAGAAGCACCGGCUAACUACGUG